AAGAUUGACAGUGACAGUGAAAACGAUCAAGACUCUGUCUGCCAAGUUUGCAGGUUCCUAUUCCACUCUCUCCUGAUUUCCAAGGCUCGGUUUCUGAGCGCCUAUAGGCAGAAAGAAGAGUUGAGGAGCCCGGAAUGUUCACCAUGCCAGCGGACUGGCUUGCUGCGAGGCAGGUGGCCGCGGCAGAACCGGUUGGGAUGAGUUACGGCACCACCUCGGAUUCUGGGAUUCCCGCACUACUUUGCGGCUCUUCCUGCGCUCCAGAGCGCUCCUUUGAAACGAGCGCAAAAGGCACAAAUUUUGAGUAGCUAAACUCGUUUGCCCGAGACAGCAGCGCUUAGACAGACAAGCCGGGAGCGGAGAGCUUGCCUUGCUCCCCGUGGGUACGCUGCCAAAGUGGCGCUUGAUCGUUAGUGAAAAAAAAAAAAGACGGAGCGAUAUGGCUCAGUCCGGCGUUUGCAGGGGGAAGCAGACGAUUGCGAGUGAAGGCCCCAUGAGUCCAGCU
rnacentral:lncRNA from 1 species